UUGGAUCAUGGCUCAGGACGAACGCUGGCGGCGUGCUUAACACAUGCAAGUCGAACGAUGAUGCCCAGCUUGCUGGGCGGAUUAGUGGCGAACGGGUGAGUAACACGUGGGUGAUCUGCCCUGCACUUCGGGAUAAGCCUGGGAAACUGGGUCUAAUACCGGAUAUGACCACAGGAUGCAUGUUUUGUGGUGGAAAGGUUUACUGGUGCAGGAUGAGCCCGCGGCCUAUCAGCUUGUUGGUGGGGUAAUGGCCUACCAAGGCGACGACGGGUAGCCGGCCUGAGAGGGCGACCGGCCACACUGGGACUGAGACACGGCCCAGACUCCUACGGGAGGCAGCAGUGGGGAAUAUUGCACAAUGGGCGAAAGCCUGAUGCAGCGACGCCGCGUGAGGGAUGACGGCCUUCGGGUUGUAAACCUCUUUCAGCAGGGACGAAGCGCAAGUGACUGUACCUGCAGAAGAAGCACCGGCUAACUACGUGCCAGCAGCCGCGGUAAUACGUAGGGUGCGAGCGUUGUCCGGAAUUACUGGGCGUAAAGAGUUCGUAGGCGGUUUGUCGCGUCGUGUGUGAAAUCCCGCAGCUCAACUGCGGGCUUGCAGGCGAUACGGGCAGACUUGAGUACUGCAGGGGAGACUGGAAUUCCUGGUGUAGCGGUGAAAUGCGCAGAUAUCAGGAGGAACACCGGUGGCGAAGGCGGGUCUCUGGGCAGUAACUGACGCUGAGGAACGAAAGCGUGGGUAGCGAACAGGAUUAGAUACCCUGGUAGUCCACGCCGUAAACGGUGGGCGCUAGGUGUGGGUUUCCUUCCACGGGAUCCGUGCCGUAGCUAACGCAUAAGC
rnacentral:rRNA from 1 species